GGCGACAUGCCCGAGCGGUAAGGCAGGGGACUACAAAUCCCUUAUUCCCCAGUUCAAAUCCGGGUGUCGCCU
rnacentral:tRNA from 1 species